rnacentral:hammerhead_ribozyme from 1 species
GCGCUGCUGAUAAGUCCCACAAUAGAACGAAACGGCCGUCCAGUGC